rnacentral:lncRNA from 1 species
UGUAGAUUGGCCUGAGCAAAUGUGGUGCCGGUGGAACGAAAGCCUUCGGAGGAGUUAGCGAAAUUCCAAUGUGUGCGGAUCGGCAAAAAAUGCGGAAUAACCCUUUAACCGUACAUUUGACAGAUACGCGCGCAUUGACUUUUUUGUAGAUCUUAUUGAGUUACAUGUGUGUGUCAAUUUUUGUGUCAUUUUGCCGAAGCGUACAGGUGUGACACUCAACAAUGUGUAUUUUCACCUUAGGGGACAAGAAAAAAUGGACUUUUUUCUCCUGCCAUGGGGGGCGCUCUUUUGGGGAGUAAAAAUUCCUUCACAAAUGUGUUGAUGGCUGGACAUUGCAUCAUCCUAGAAAACUUGGAGGCCAGUGAGGGCAAAAAUAAAAAGUUAUAAGACUUUUAAAUAUGUGGAUCUUAGGGUUAUCUUUGGCGCCCCCUAGAACCUAAACCGUGGGGUGCAGCGUCAUGAUUUGAAUAACUUUUAAUGGCCAUGGGGUGUAGAUUGGCCUGAGCAAAUGUGGUGCCGGUGGAACGAAAGCCUUCGGAGGAGUUAGCGAAAUUCCAAUGUGUGCGGAUCGGCAAAAAAUGCGAAAUAACCCUUUAACCGUACAUUUGACAGAUACGCCCGCACUGACUUUUUUGUAGAUCUUAUUGAGAUACAUGUGUGUGUCAAUUUUUGUGUCAUUUUGACAAAGCGUACAGGCGUGACAGUCAAUAGUGUGAAUUUUCACCUUAGGGGGCGCUAUGGAGCCAUUUUGCAUUUUCUUGUUUGGGCGACUUCGGAAUAUCGAAUUUUUCACCAGGCCCAUUCGUCCUGCCAAAUUUCAUGAGUUUUCGCCAGUGGGAAGUGGGCCAUUUUCCAGUUCAAAGGGGAGGAAAAAUAAUAAUAAUAACAAAAGAAGGAAACAUGCAGGAACAAGAGGGCUCUCGCAGCUGCUUAGCAGCUACGCUCGGGCCCUAACUAGGACCCCGUUGGGGCACUGGCGGGCCCGAGCUGUGUCGCGUCCCCCCCCCCAACGCGCUGCCUCCCCGUCCCAUUUGUGUCCUCUGGCCAUCGCCCUCUCUGGUAACGCCCAUCACUGCAAAGACCCUUUUCCUUCAUCGGCGUUUGCUGUUCUUCCUGCCAGUGCGUGUUGCUUUCACUUACACUUGCCACAGCCAGCCUCGUGAGUGCCUAGCCUAUUGGAUAUCACUGUCACCUACACAGGACAGUCAUUACCUUUCUAUUAAUACUUUGUUUUUUAAUUUCACAUUAAUUUCCAUAUUGUAUAAACAACUGGAAAAAACUUGAGCCCCUGCCCCUGUAUAAUCAUGUGCACGUCUCUGUUCUAGCUCUAAGGUGAAUCUUCACUGCUCAUGUUCUCCUCAGAAGCAGUCACCUCACUCCCCUCAGGUUACUGUACACAUGCACCAACUGCCUGCUUCAGGUUUGGAUGGAGCUUCAUGGUUGUCUUUUGGAGAAAUGACCAGUCAAGUUGUGUUUGAAAUUUGAUUUUUUUCAGGGGCAAAAGGAGCCUCUGCAUUCUUGUCAAAUAUGUAAAUAGCAUGUUUUUGCAGGUGCUAAAAACCAGACUCUGAGUGUGUGUGUGUGCGUGUGUUUGUGUGUGUGUGUGUGUGUGUGUGUGUGUGUGUGUGCGUUCAAGUCACAUGACAUAUUUAACCGGAUGUAGCUGCAAGACGGAGCCUCGUUGACUAUCCGUUUCAAUUUAUCUCAAAAGUGAGGACCUCAACCUAUAUACCAGUUUUUAAAUUGUGUUGAUAGGCCAAAUAAAACCAGAGUUAUGAUAAAUUAUGUCCACGAUACUUGUUUUCUGCUUAUUUUGAUCACGUUCGGCGCUCGAUCGCGCUGUAUGAGACAGGAAAACAUAGCAUGCAGACAUUAGCGACAGGUCUUACAGGCGGAAAAGGCUUGCCAAAGGAAAAAAAAAAACACACCACAACAUCUCUCCUAUUGGUGGAAAACUUCACCACAACAACCAAUCCAAAAUUAUAUGGUGACUGAUUGACAAGGGGCGGGAACUUACGUUCUUCCUGCAAUAUGAGAAGGGAGGGAGGGACUCUCAGCAGGGAUGCAGUCUGGGACACGUAGUUGCAAACCUAGCGACUUUGUUGUUAGAUUCAAUGACUUUUCAGACCCCCUAACGACUUUUUUUAGAAAGAAAGUGACUUUUAUCGACUUCUUCUGGAGUUUAGAGACUCUGACAUGAAGCAGGCUUUCCUUACUGAGGAGUUAGCAACGCUGCUAAGGGUGCAGAGCCACACAUGCGCUCCGAGCUCUGCAUGGGAGACUGAAGCUGACAGAGCUGCAGCAGUUAGCAGGUUUCACCCUCAGAGACCACCAGGGGUUCAUGUUGAGGCAUUUUAAUUUUUUUUUUUUUUUUUGCCAUAGACACUGUCAGCACAAUCUGCAGUUACACUAACAAAAAUGCUGCAAAAAACAAAGAAUUAUGGAAAAAUUACACAUGGACUAACAUAGAGGAGGAUCUACACAAGUUUUUUACAUCAUGUUUUACAUCAUGCAUCAUUUACAUCAUGUUUUUUUGUAGUGGCAUAAAUAAAAAGUGACAUUUGUGAGACUAUACAGUGUUUUGUAAAUAAUUUUACAAAGAACACCUGGGCCAUUGCCUGCAUUUUGAUGUCAAUAGAGGUAAAUUACUAUGUUCUUUGUUAAAAAUUUGCAUAUGUUUUGAAGUUUACAAUUUUUAUUUGAAGUUUAAGUUUUAAAAACAGUUCAUCACACAUAUUUGUGGUUUUCACAGUAAAAACGUUACUUUUUUCCACUCGGAUUUUAUGUUUUGUGUGUGAAUUUGGGUCCAAUGUGUAAAUAUAGUAUGUCAAAAUGAUAAAAUAACUGUAAAUUCACACAGGUGAGGUUGUGCUCUAGGCGACCCCUAGAACGUAAACCGUGGGGUGCAGCGUCAUGAUUUUUACAACUUUGAAUAGCCAUGGGGUGUAGAUUGGCCUGAGCAAAUUUGGUGCCGGUGGAACGAAAGCCUUAGGAGGAGUUAGCGAAAUUCCAAUGUGUGCGGAUCGGCAAAAAUGCGAAAUAGCCCUUUAACCGUACAUUUGACAGAUACGCCCGCAUUGACUUUUUUGUAGAUCUUAUUGAGAUACACGUGUGUGUCGAGUUUUGUGUCAUUUUGACAAAACAUACAGGCGUAGCACUCAACAAUGUGUAUUUUCACCUUAGUGGACAAGAAAAACUUGACUUUAUUCUCCUGCCAUGGGGGGGCGCUCUUUUAAAGAGAAAAAACUCCUUCACAAAUGUGUUGAUGGCUGGACAUUGCAUCAUCCUAGAAAACAUGGAGGCCAGUGAGGACAAAAAUAAAAAGUUAUAAGACUUUUAAAUAUGUGGAUUUUAGGGUUAUAUUUGGCGGCCCCUAGAACCUAAACCGUGGGGUGCAGCGUCAUGAUUUGAAUAACUUUUAAUGGCCAUGGGGUGUAGAUUGGCCUGAGCAAAUGUGGUGCCGGUGGAACGAAAGCCUUCGGAGGAAUUAGCGAAAUUCCAAUGUGUGCGAAUCUGCAAAAAAUGCGAAAUAACCCUUUAACCGUACAUUUUACAGAUACGUGGCCAUUGACUUUUUCGAAGAUCUUAUUGAAAUACACGUGUAUGUAAAAUUUUGUGUCAAUACGACAAAACAUACAGGCGUAGCACUCAACAAUGUGUAUUUUCACCUUAGUGGACAAGAAAAAAUUGACUUUUUUCUCCUGCCAUGGGGGGCGCUCUUUUGCCGAGUAAAAAUUCCUUCACAAAUGUGUUGAUGGCUGGACAUUGCAUCAUCCUAGAAAACUUGGAGGCCAGUGGGGACAAAAAUAAAAAGUUAUAAGACUUUUAAAUAUGUGGAUUUUACGGUUAUCUUUGGCUCCCCCUAGAACCUAAACCGUGGGGUGCAGCGUCAUGAUUUGAAUAACUUUUAAUGGCCAUGGGGUGUAGAUUGGCCUGAGCAAAUGUGGUGCCGGUGGAACGAAAGCCUUCGGAGGAGUUAGCGAAAUUCCAAUGUGUGCGGAUCGGCAAAAAAUGCGGAAUAACCCUUUAACCGUACAUUUGACAGAUACGCGCGCAUUGACUUUUUCGUAGAUCUUAUUGAGAUACAUGUGUGUGUCAAUUUUUGUGUCAUUUUGCCAAAGCGUACAGGUGUUACACUCAACAAUGUGUAUUUUCACCUUAGGGGACAAGAAAAAAUGGACUUUUUUCUCCUGCCAUGGGGGGGCGCUCUUUUGGGGAGUAAAAAUUCCUUCACAAAUGUGUUGAUGGCUGGACAUUGCAUCAUCCUAGAAAACUUGGAGGCCAGUGAGGGCAAAAAUAAAAAGUUAUAAGACUUUUAAAUAUGUGGAUCUUAGGGUUAUCUUUGGCGCCCCCUAGAACCUAAACCGUGGGGUGCAGCGUCAUGAUUUGAAUAACUUUUAAUGGCCAUGGGGUGUAGAUUGGCCUGAGCAAAUGUGGUGCCGGUGGAACGAAAGCCUUCGGAGGAGUUAGCGAAAUUCCAAUGUGUGCGGAUCGGCAAAAAAUGCGAAAUAACCCUUUAACCGUACAUUUGACAGAUACGCCCGCACUGACUUUUUUGUAGAUCUUAUUGAGAUACAUGUGUGUGUCAAUUUUUGUGUCAUUUUGACAAAGCGUACCGGCGUGACAGUGAAUAGUGUGAAUUUUCACCUUAGGGGGCGCUAUGGAGCCAUUUUGCAUUUUCUUGUUUGGGCGACUUCGGAAUAUCAAAUUUUUCACCAGGCCCGGUCGUCCUGCCAAAUUUCAUGAGUUUUCGCCAGUGGGAAGUGGGCCAUUUUCCAGUUCAAAGGGGAGGAAAAAUAAUAAUAACAAAAGAAGGAAACUACAGGAACAAGAGGGCUCUCGCAGCUGCUUAGCAGCUACGCUCGGGCCCUAAAGAAAGAAAGAAAGAAAGAAAGAAACAAAGAAAAACCACUUGGGGAAUAAUAGGGCCUACGCCCGGCUGCUCUGCAGCUGGCUCGGGCCCUAACUAGGACCCCGUUGGGGCACUGGCGGGCCCGAGCCGUGUCGCCCCCCCCCCCCCCAACGUGCUUCCUCCCCGUCCCAUUUGUGUCCCCUGGCCAUCGCCCUCUCUGGUAACGCCCAUCACUGCAAAGACCCUUUUCCUUCAUCGGCGUUUGCUGUUCUUCCUGCCAGUGCGUGUUGCUUUCACUUACACUUGCCACAGCCAGCCUCGUGAGUGCCUAGCCUAUUCGAUAUCACUGUCACCUACACAGGACAGUCAUUACCUUUCUAUUAAUACUUUGUGUUUUAAUUUCACAUUAAUUUCCAUAUUGUAUAAACGACUGGAAAAAACUUGAGCCCCUGCCCCUGUAUAAUCAUGUGCAUGUCUCUGUUCUAGCUCCAAGGUGAAUCUUCACUGCUCAUGUUCUCCUCAGAAGCACUCACCUCACUCCCCUCAGGUUACUGUACACAUGCACCAACUGCCUGCUUCAGGUUUGGAUGGAGCUUCAUGGUUGUCUUUUGGAGAAAUGACCAGUCAAGUUGUGUUUGAAAUUUGAUUUUUUUCAGGGGCAAAAGGAGCCUCUGCAUUCUUGUCAAAUAUGUAAAUAGCAUGUUUUUGCAGGUGCUAAAAACCAGACUCUGAGUGUGUGUGUGUGUGUGUGUGUGUGCGUGUGUGUGUGUCUGUGUGUGCGUUCAAGUCACAUGACAUAUUUAACCGGAUGUAGCUGCAAGACGGAGCCUCGUUGACUCUCCGUUUCAACUUAUCUCAAAAGUGAGGACCUCAACCUAUAUACCAGUUUUUAAAUUGUGUUGAUAGGCCAAAUAAAACCAGAGUUAUGAUAAAUUAUGUCCGCGAUACUUGUUUUCUGCUUAUUUUGAUCACGUUCGGCGCUCGAUCGCGCUGUAUGAGACAGGAAAACAUAGCAUGCAGACAUUAGCGACAGGUCUUACAGGCGGAAAAGGCUUGCCAAAAGAAAAAAAAAACACACCACAACAUCUCUCCUAUUGGUGGAAAACUUCACCACAACAACCAAUCCAAAAUUAUAUGGUGACUGAUUGACAAGGGGCGGGUGCUUACGUUCUUCCUGCAACAUGAGAAGCGAGGGAGGGACUCUCAGCAGGGAUGCAGUCUGGGACACGUAGUUGCAAACCUAGCGACUUUGUUGUUAGAUUCAAUGACUUUUCAGACCCCCUAACGACUUUUUUUUUAGAAAGAAAGGGACUUUUAUCGACUUCUUCUGGAGUUUAGAGACUCUGACAUGAAGCAGGCUUUCCUUACUGAGGAGUUAGCAACGCUGCUAAGGGUGCAGAGCCACACAUGCGCUCAGAGCUCUGCAUGGGAGACUGAAGCUGACAGAGCUGCAGCAGUUAGCAGGUUUCACCCUCAGAGACCACCAGGGGUUCAUGUUGAGGCAUUUUAAUUUUUUUUUUUUUGUGCCAUAGACACUGUCAGCACAAUCUGCAGUUACACUAACAAAAAUGCUGCAAAAAACAAAGAAUUAUGGAAAAAUUACACAUGGACUGACAUAGAGGAGGAUCUACACAAGUUUUUUACAUCAUGUUUUACAUCAUGCAUCAUUUACAUCAUGUUUUUUUGUAGUGGCAUAAAUAAAAAGUGACAUUUGUGAGAUUAUACAGUGUUUUGUAAAUAAUUUUACAAAGAACGCCUGGGCCAUUGCCUGCAUUUUGAUGUAAAUAGAGGUAAAUUACUAUGUUCUUUGUUAAAAAUUUGCAUAUGUUUUGAAGUUUACAAUUUUUAUUUGAAGUUUAAGUUUUAAAAACAGUUCAUCACACAUAUUUGUGGUUUAAUUUCACAUUAAUUUCCAUAUUGUAUAAAUGACUGGAAAAAACUUGAGCCCCUGCCCCUGUAUAAUCAUGUGCACGUCCCUGUUCUAGCUCCAAGGUGAAUCUUCACUGCUCAUGUUCUCCUCAGAAAUAGUCACCUCACUCCCCUCAGGUUACUGUACACAUGCACCAACUAUCUGCUUCAGGUUUGAAAUGGAGCUUCAUGGUUGUCUUUUGGAGAAAUGAACAGUCAAGUUGUGUUUGAAAUUUGAUUUUUUUCAGGGGCAAAAGGAAGCCUCUGCAUUCUUGUCAAAUAUGUAAACAGCAUGUUUUUGCAGGUGCUAAAAAACAGACUCUGAGUGUGUGUGUGUGUCUGUGUGUGUGUGUGUGUGUGUGUGUGUGUGUGUGUGUGUAUGUUGGCGUGUGUGUAUAUGUGUGUGUAUCCUGCAGUACUCUGUACUCCUGCAGUGGCCAAAAAGACUUUUAAGAAUGUGGAUUUUUGGGUCAUCUUUGGCGCCCCCUAGAACUGCAGUACUCUGUACUCCUGCAGUGGCCAAAAUGACUUUUAAGAAUGUGGAUUUUUGGGUCAUCUUUGGCGCCCCCUAGAACGUAAACCGUGGGGUGCAGCGUCAUGAUUUUUACAACUUUGAAUGGGCAUGGGGUGUAGAUUGCCCUGAGCAAAUUUGGUAUCGGUGGGACGAAAGCCUUAGGAGGAGAUAGCCACAUUCCAAUGUGUGCGAAUCGGCAAAAAAUGCAAAAUAGCCCUUUAACCGUACAUUAUACAGAUACGCGCUCUUUGACUUUUUCGUAGAUCUAAUUGAGAUACACAUGAUUGUCAAUUUUUGUGUCAAUAUGACAAAGCGUUCAGGCGUGACACUCAACAAUGUGUAUUUUUAUGUAAGGGGACAAGAAAAAAUUGACUUUUUUCUCCUACCAUGGGGGGGCGCUCUUUUGGGGAGUAAAAAUUCCUUCACAAAUGUGUUGAUGGCUGGACAUUGCAUCAUCCUAGAAAACUUGGAGGCCAGUGAGGACAAAAAUAAAAAGUUAUAAAACAUUUAAGAAUGUGGAUUUUUGGGUUAUUUUUGGCGCCCCCUAGAACCUAAACCAUGGGGUGCAGCAUCAUGAUUUGAAUAACUUUUAAUGGCCAUGGGGUGUAGAUUGGCCUGAGCAAAUGUGGUGCCGGUGGAACGAAAGCCUUCGGAGGAGUUAGCGAAAUUCCAAUGUGUGCGUAUCGGCAAAAAAUGCGGAAUAACCCUUUAACUGUACAUUUGACAGAUACGCGCGCAUGGACUUUUUUGUAGAUCUUAUUGAGUUACAUGUGUGUGUCAAUUUUUGUGUCAUUUUGACAAAGCGUAUAGGCGUGACACUCAACAAUGUGUAUUUUCACCUUAGGGGACAAGAAAAAAUGGACUUUUUUCUCCUGCCAUGGGGGGGCGCUCUUUUGGGGAGUAAAAAUUCCUUCACAAAUGUGUUGAUGGCUGGACAUUGCAUCAUCCUAGAAAACUUGGAGGCCAGUGAGGACAAAAAUAAAAAGUUAUAAGAAUUUUAAAUAUGUGGAUUUUAGUGUUAUCUUUGGCGCCCCCUAGAACCUAAACCUUGGGGUGCAGCGUCAUGAUUUUGAUAACUUUUAGUGGCCACGGGGUGUAGAUUGGCCUGAGCAAAUGUGGUGCCGGUGGAACGAAAGCCUUCGGAGGAGUUAGCGAAAUUCCAAUGUGUGCGGAUCGGCAAAAAAUGCGAAAUAACCCUUUAACCGUAAUUUUGACAGAUACGGCCGCACUGACUUUUUUGUAGAUCUUAUUGAGAUACAUAUGUGUGUCAAUUUUUGUGUCAAUAUGACAAAGCGUACAGGCGUGACAGUCAAUAGUGUGAAUUUCCACCUUAGGGGGCGCUAUGGAGCCAUUUUGCAUUUUAUUGUUUGGGCGACUUCAGAAUAUCGAAUUUUUCACCAGGCCCGGUCGUCCUGCCAAAUUUCAUGAGUUUUCGCCAGUGGGAAGUGGGCCAUUUUCCAGUUCAAAGGGGAGGAAAAAGAAGAAAGAAAGAAAGAAAGAAAGAAACAAAGAAAAACCCAUUGGGGAAUAAUAGGGCCUACGCCCGGCUGCUCUGCAGCUGGCUCGGGCCCUAAUAAUAACAAAAGAAGGAAACAUGCAGGAACAAGAGGGCUCUCGCAGCUGCUUAGCAGCUACGCUCGGGCCCUAAGAAAGAAAGAAAGAAAGAAAGAAAGAAAGAAACAAAGAAAAACCACUUGGGGAAUAAUAGGGCCUACGCCCGGCUGCUCUGCAGCUGGCUCCGGGCCCUAAGAAAGAAAGAAACAAAGAACUAGGACCCCGUUGGGGCACUGGCGGGCCCGAGCUGUGUCGCGUCCCCCCCCCAACGCGCUGCCUCCCCGUCCCAUUUGUGUCCUCUGGCCAUCGUCCUCUCUGGUAACGCCCAUCACUGCAAAGACCCUUUUCCUUCAUCGGCGUUUGCUGUUCUUCCUGCCAGUGCGUGUUGCUUUCACUUACACUUGCCACAGCCAGCCUCUUGAGUGCCUAGCCUAUUGGAUAUCACUGUCACCUACUCAGGACAGUCAUUACCUUUCUAUUAAUACUUUGUUUUUUAAUUUCACAUUAAUUUCCAUAUUGUAUAAACAACUGGAAAAAACUUGAGCCCCUGCCCCUGUAUAAUCAUGUGCACGUCUCUGUUCUAGCUCUAAGGUGAAUCUUCACUGCUCAUGUUCUCCUCAGAAGCAGUCACCUCACUCCCCUCAGGUUACUGUACACAUGCACCAACUGCCUGCUUCAGGUUUGGAUGGAGCUUCAUGGUUGUCUUUUGGAGAAAUGACCAGUCAAGUUGUGUUUGAAAUUUGAUUUUUUUCAGGGGCAAAAGGAGCCUCUGCAUUCUUGUCAAAUAUGUAAAUAGCAUGUUUUUGCAGGUGCUAAAAACCAGACUCUGAGUGUGUGUGUGUGUGCGUGUGUGUGUGUGUCUGUGUGUGUGUGUGUGUGUGUGUGUGUGUGUGUGUGUGUGUGCGUUCAAGUCACAUGACAUAUUUAACCGGAUGUAGCUGCAAGACGGAGCCUCGUUGACUCCGUUUCAACUUAUCUCAAAAGUGAGGACCUCAACCUAUAUACCAGUUUUUAAAUUGUGUUGAUAGGCCAAAUAAAACCAGAGUUAUGAUAAAUUAUGUCCGCGAUACUUGUUUUCUGCUUAUUUUGAUCACGUUCGGCGCUCGAUCGCGCUGUAUGAGACAGGAAAACAUAGCAUGCAGACAUUAGCGACAGGUCUUACAGGCGGAAAAGGCUUGCCAAAGGAAAAAAAAAACACACCACAACAUCUCUCCUAUUGGUGGAAAACUUCACCACAACAACCAAUCCAAAAUUAUAUGGUGACUGAUUGACAAGGGGCGGGCGCUUACGUUCUUCCUGCAACAUGAGAAGGGAGGGAGGGACUCUCAGCAGGGAUGCAGUCUGGGACACGUAGUUGCAAACCUAGCGACUUUGUUGUUAGAUUCAAUGACUUUUCAGACCCCCUAAAGACUUUUUUUUUAGAAAGAAAGUGACUUUUAUCGACUUCUUCUGGAGUUUAGAGACUCUGACAUGAAGCAGGCUUUCCUUACUGAGGAGUUAGCAACGCUGCUAAGGGUGCAGAGCCACACAUGCGCUCCGAGCUCUGCAUGGGAGACUGAAGCUGACAUAGCUGCAGCAGUUAGCAGGUUUCACCCUCAGAGACCACCAGGGGUUCAUGUUGAGGCAUUUUCAGUUUUUUUUUUUUUUUUUGCCAUAGACACUGUCAGCACAAUCUGCAGUUACACUAACAAAAAUGCUGCAAAAAACAAAGAAUUAUGGAAAAAUUACACAUGGACUAACAUAGAGGAGGAUCUACACAAGUUUUUUACAUCAUGUUUUACAUCAUGCAUCAUUUACAUCAUGUUUUUUUGUAGUGGCAUAAAUAAAAAGUGACAUUUGUGAGACUAUACAGUGUUUUGUAAAUAAUUUUACAAAGAACACCUGGGCCAUUGCCUGCAUUUUGAUGUAAAUAGAGGUAAAUCACUAUGUUCUUUGUUAAAAAUUUGCAUAUGUUUUGAAGUUUACAAUUUUUAUUUGAAGUUUAAGUUUUAAAAACAGUUCAUCACACAUAUUUGUGGUUUUCACAGUAAAAAUGUUACUUUUUUCCACUCGGAUUUUAUGUUUUGUGUGUGAAUUUGGGUCCAUUGUGUAAAUUCAGUAUGUCAACAUGAUAAAAUAACUGUAAAUUCACACAGGUGAGGUUGUGCUGAAAAAAAUGAUACCAGGCAAGGCACGUGAUUGUCAAAUUUUGUGUCAAUAUGACAAAGCGUAUAGGCGUGAAUCUCAACAAUAUGUAUUUUCACCUUAGGGGACAAGAAAAAAUGGACUUUUUUCUCCUGCCAUGGGGGGGCGCUCUUUUGGGGAGUAAAAAUUCCUUCACAAAUGUGUUGAUGGCUGGACAUUGCAUCAUCCUAGAAAACUUGGAGGCCAGUGAGGGCAAAAAUAAAAAGUUAUAAGACUUUUAAAUAUGUGGAUUUUAGGGAUAUCUUUGGCGCCCCCUAGAACCUAAACCGUGGGGUGCAGCGUCAUGAUUUGAAUAACUUUUAAUGGCCAUGGGGUGUAGAUUGGCCUGAGCAAAUGUGGUGCCGGUGGAACGAAAGCCUUCGGAGGAGUUAGCGAAAUUCCAAUGUGUGCGGAUCGGCAAAAAAUGCGAAAUAACCCUUUAACCGUACAUUUGACAGAUACGCGCGCGUGGACUUUUUUGUAGAUCUUAUUGAGAUACAUGUGUGUGUCAAUUUUUGUGUCAUUUUGACAAAGCGUACAGGCGUGACAGUCAAUAGUGUGAAUUUUAACCUUAGGGGACAAGAAAAAAUGGACUUUUUUCUCCUGCCAUGGGGGGGCGCUCUUUUGGGGAGUAAAAAUUCCUUCACAAAUGUGUUGAUGGCUGGACAUUGCAUCAUCCUAGAAAACUUGGAGGCCAGUGAGGGCAAAAAUAAAAAGUUAUAAGACUUUUAAAUAUGUGGAUUUUAGGGUUAUCUUUGGCGCCCCCUAGAACCUAAACCGUGGGGUGCAGCGUCAUGAUUUUGAUAACUUUUAAUGGCCAUGGGGUGUAGAUUGGCCUGAGCAAAUGUGGUGCCGGUGGAACGAAAGCCUUAGGAGGAGUUAGCCACAUUCCAAUGUGUGCGGAUCGGCAAAAAAUGCGGAAUAACCCUUUAACCGUACAUUUGACAGAUACGCGCGCGUGGACUUUUUUGUAGAUCUUAUUGAGAUACAUGUGUGUGUCAAUUUUUGUGUCAUUUUGACAAAGCGUACAGGCGUGACAGUCAAUAGUGUGAAUUUUCACCUUAGGGGACAAGAAAAAAUGGACUUUUUUCUCCUGCCAUGGGGGGGCGCUCUUUUGGGGAGUAAAAAUUCCUUCACAAAUGUGUUGAUGGCUGGACAUUGCAUCAUCCUAGAAAACUUGGAGGCCAGUGAGG